UAGGGCGGCCACAGCGGCGAGGUGCCUCCCGUACCCAUCCCGAACACGGAAGAUAAGCUCGCCAGCGUUACGGUGAGUACUGGAGUGCGCGAGCCUCUGGGAAAUUCGUUUCGCCGCCUCCA
rnacentral:rRNA from 1 species